CGGAGUAACUGCCGGUACCUUGACGGUACCUGACCAGAAAGCCACGGCUAACUACGUGCCAGCAGCCGCGGUAAUACGUAGGUGGCAAGCGUUGUCCGGAAUUAUUGGGCGUAAAGCGCGCGCAGGCGGUUCCUUAAGUCUGAUGUGAAAGCCCCCGGCUCAACCGGGGAGGGUCAUUGGAAACUGGGGAACUUGAGUGCAGAAGAGAAGAGUGGAAUUCCACGUGUAGCGGUGAAAUGCGUAGAGAUGUGGAGGAACACCAGUGGCGAAGGCGACUCUUUGGUCUGUAACUGACGCUGAGGCGC
rnacentral:rRNA from 2 species